rnacentral:lncRNA from 1 species
AGUUUAGGUAAAAUUUGUAAAUGAUCUUGCAUUUGAGUCUGAAGUUUAAAAGCAACAGUUACUCAUUUUGGGCCAAAAACUACAGGCAUGACUGUGCAUGCUUACUGGCAGCUCUCAGACCAUCCCAGCUCAGCUACUGUGUUUGGCUCUCUUCCCCAUGCUCAGCACUGUAAACAAACAAUCGGACAACAAAAGCAUGGGAUUCCUGAUGCUCUUCUAAGUUUGACCACAACCAAAUUGUAGGGUGUACCUGAUUCAGAAGCUCAGCGGCAGCCACGUUUGCAUCCAAGUGGCCCCCACACUUCAACAACACCAGAUUAUCAGAAGCACAAAGAGCACCGGCUUGCAUUUUUUUCUGGCUCAUGGGACAGAGAAAGUGUGGCCUUGUUGGAGGAAGUGUGUCACUAGGGAUGGGCUUUGAGGGCCCAAGCCAGGCCCAGAGAUUCUCUCUCUUUCUGAUGCCUGAAAAUCUGGAUAUAGAACUCUCAGCUACUUUUCCAUCAACAUGUUUGCCUGUGUGUGACCAUACUUCCUGCCAUGAUGAAAAUUGACUAAAUUUCUAAAACUGCAAGUAGGUCCAAAUUGAAUAAUUUCUUUUCUUUUCCUUUUUUCUUGGUUUUUGUUUUGUUUUGUUUUAGGUGCACAAUGAAAAAUUUUAUUCAUGACAGGUUUCAAAACAUGGAAAAGAAGACAUAAAUGCACAAAGGCAUCUCACAAAACUGUCACAUAAUAUAAAAACACCAGAACUGAGCUGUUAAAACCAUGGCUCAGGAUUCAUCCAUGUAUCUCAGCAACACAUUCAGUGCCUUAAGAUAAAUAGACUUUAUUGUGAACUUAGUAGCUCAAUUAAAAGCAGAGUCGAAUUAAAAGAUGCAUUUGUCAAGGCUAUUGAUAGCAUAGCAAUUAUGAAUACUUGCUGCUAUUGUAGAGGACUUGAUUUGAGUUCCCAGCACUAACAUGUCAGCUCACAACUGUUUUUAACUCCACUUCCAGGUGAUCCAACUCCUUUUCCG